UAUACUAUGCAAUAAAAACCUCUCUAUUUCUCUAUUUCAAUUUUGCUUCUCCUGUACCCGCUUAGGCACACCUUGACCGUCUCUAUGAUGAACGCCUCCAUCAUUGAUCCGUUGCAGGGUGAUUUCCCAGAAGUCAUAGAGGAGUAUUUGGAACAUGGCUGUAUGAAAUGCAUUGCCUUUAAUCGCCGUGGUACCCUUCUCGCAGCUGGGUGCAAUGAUGGAAGUUGUGUUAUUUGGGAUUUCGAAACAAGAGGCAUCUCUAAGAUUCUUCAUGAUAAUGAAUGUUCUUCCCCCAUAACCAGCAUCUGUUGGUCAAAGUAUGGUCAUCGAAUUCUGGUAUCUGCUGCUGACAAAUCAUUAAUUUUGUGGGAUGUUAUGAGUGGUAAGAAGAUAACACGAAUAGUUUUGCAACAAACCCCUCUACAAGCGCGUCUUCAUCCAGGAUCUUCAACACCAUCUCUUUGCUUAGCAUGUCCUCUUUCAUGUGCUCCUAUGAUUGUUGACCUGAAUACAGGAAACACAACUUUGCUUAAGGUUUCUGUGUCAGAGACAAGCAAUGGACUAAUCCCUCCCUCACGCAAUAAGUCUUCUGAUGGAAUCACCUCCUUUACACCAACCGCUGCUUGUUUUAACAAGUACGGGACUCUGGUUUAUUUGGGAAACUCAAAAGGUGAAAUUCUUGUUAUUGAUUACAAAAAUGGUGAAGUGCGUGCUGUAGUCCCAAUCACUGGUGGUUCUGUUGUAAAGAACAUUGUGUUCAGCAGGAAUGGGCAGUAUCUACUCACGAACUCCAAUGAUCGAGUAAUAAGGAUCUAUGAAAACCUUCUGCCCCUGAAAGACGAGGUCAGAACCCUUGAUGAACUGAAUGAGAACUGUGGUGAUGUAAAUAACAGUGAGAAGUUGAAGGCCAUUGGGUCAAAAUGUUUAAUUUUGUUCCGUGAAUUUCAAGAUGCCAUCACAAAGGUACACUGGAAAGCCCCUUGUUUCAGUGGUGAUGGUGAGUGGGUAGUCGGUGGUUCUGCUUGCAAAGGUGAGCACAAGAUUUACAUAUGGGAUAGAGCUGGGCAUCUUGUGAAAAUCCUUGAAGGACCAAAGGAAGCUCUUAUCGAUCUAGCAUGGCAUCCUGUACAUCCUUUUGUUGUAUCUGUUUCCUUGAAUGGCUUUGUUUAUAUAUGGGCAAAAGAUUAUACCGAGAAUUGGAGUGCAUUUGCUCCUGACUUCAAGGAGCUUGAGGAAAAUGAAGAGUAUGUAGAGCGUGAAGAUGAAUUUGAUCUGAUUCCUGACACUGAGAAGGUGAAAGGUCCUGAUGUAAAUGAAGAUGAGGAAGUUGACAUCGUAUCAGUGGAGAAAGAUGCCACUUUCAGUGAUUCUGAUAUGUCUCAAGAAGAGCUAUGUUUCUUGCCAGCAACCCCUAGUCGUGAUCCUCUGGAACAGCAAGACAAGUGUGCAGAAAGUUCUUCAAAGUUGUUGGACAGCAAUAACACUGGAUCCCCUUCAGAAGAAGCUGGACCAAAUGGACUUAUGAUGAAUCACGCAUCCAGUCUUCUUGAAGACGAUGCUGGGCGCUUUAAAAGAAAGAGAAAACCUUCAGAGAAGGUGUUGGAAUUGCAAGCAGAAAAAGUUAAGAAAUCUUCAAAAUCAAGCAAAUUGGCAAAACCCAAGAGCAAAUCUUUGGUUGAUCAAGAUAAUGGUUCAGGCUAGGUUAGCUUUUCGAACAGAUUGCCUUCGACGAGGAAAUAGGUCAGAUGUUUUAAUUAUGAAUCAGGUUCUUUAGCUUACCAAGGCUUGGAUGCCACGUAAUUCAUGUGGUUAGGGGUGAUGUAUGAUUAUGGAGGGUAUUGAAGAAUAUUUGUAAUGUAUUAUUUUACUCUUAAGUAUUACUAAAGGAAAAUAAAAUUUCAAGAAUAACUUUGUUAGUACCUCUUAAAAUCAUAACCUAUUUUCACUUCCCUUAAAAUACAAAAUCCCUCUAAUGUUAUUAGGGAGAGAUUUUAGCGUCCUUAUUUUCCAUAUUCUCUCUUCGCUGAAUGUUUGAGCUAACGAGAUAAAAUUAGAACAAAGAAAAUUCUCCCUUACCACUCUUUGGUUUCAACUAAGUCUAUUGUUAGUGAUAGAACAAUUUUUUAACCUUCAUUGAUGGUUAUCACAUUUGAAAUAGUUGGUGGAAAUAAGUCAAGGAGCUUGAUCUAUUUAUCAAAAAGGUUAAGUUUUUGUUUUCUUAAAAACUUUGUUUAAAAAAAAAAUAGUUAGGCUGACUUUAGAAGGACAGUUUACUACACUUAAAAGUCCAACGUGUUUAUAAACACAGUAUAUAUUAUCUGAAUGAAAAUGUUUGGUUGAUUUUGAGGUGGACAAAUUGCAUAAAUUGAACUUAUCUAGUAUAUAAUUGAACUAAACUUUUAUAAGUAGUGUGACUGAAUUGAAAUGAUUUAUCUUGUAUAGAAUUGCAUAAUGUGAAACAAAGCAAAUAGACUAAACUGAAUGAUUUAAAUUAUUUAAAAUGUUUGAACUAUUCUCAAUAUGUGCAUGAUCUUAAAUCAUAUUUUUCAAUUUCAUUAGUUAGAAUUCAAUGCAGUUUACACAAUUUAGUAUAGGGGCGUUUAAUUUUUUUUCUUUUUCAAAACAUGAGUUUUUUCAAAUGUAGUUUAGUUUGGUAUAAGUUUAGCUUUUUAACAUAACCUUAGUUUUAAGAAAACAUUCUGAUUUAUUUGAGGGGACUUAUCCAAACGAAGGGGCUUUUUUGGUUGAUUUGGAUUAGAGAGGGAAACCAUGAUGUAUGAGGAAAUGGAUUGAUAACGAGAUAAUGCAAAAUGCCUUGAAGGGUGUCUAUGAAAGGUAAACAAGUUACCAAUUCAGUUUAAUUUUUGUUAAGUCUUUGUUUAAAAUGUAAUUCCAGUUUUCAGAUAUAUGCAUCUUAAGUAUUUCAUUAAUGAAGCAUUAAAUAAACAAAUCCAUUCUGAUUGCCAUUGUACUUUUUGACCAAACUAUCUUAUCUCAGUUAUAAUAGCUAGUUGUAGAUUUAAAGUUAAUUUUGAAGUUAAAAGUUGAUAAUAAAAGAAAUUGUCGUAAGUAUUGUAAAAAUAACUAAGAUUGAUGCUUAGAUUGAAGGCUUGAAGAAGGUGUUUUGAUGGCAACAAUUGUAGUUAAUACUAAAACUAUGUUGAGUUUAUUUGAAUAUAAGUUAGAAGUAUUUUUGAAAUCUUUCACUACUUGAAAUAUGCAUAUAUUUUUUUUAAUAGAGAAGUUCUGAAAAUAUACUUUUAGUUUUGUAUUCAGUCACCAUAAUGGCGUGAAUCAUGUGUGAAUAUGGAAUUCUAGAAGUUUUCUUUUCAAAUAUAAAGUUGACAUGCAAUCCAUAUGGAUGUCCAUACAAAGAAAUGAACCCAUUUGAAACAAAAGUGUAUUGAUGAUUUGGUUUUGUUAUGAAUUAACCAAGAAGCAGCCUAGGAGAACUUGUGUAUAACUUUAAUUCUAUGCAGUUAGAUGAUAAUUGGAUUAUAGAUAAAGAAUACAUAGAAAGAAGAUGGAGAGGUGCCAAGUAUAAUGAAGGGAACAAAGAUAGUGUGGAAGGCUAUUAUUAUUAUUAUUAUUAUUAUUAUUAUUUUAUCUUAUUAUAGUAAUGAUCUAGAGUUGGAUAGUUUGUUUUUGUUUUUAGUACUUUUUACUAGCUAUAACACUUGUAAUUUUAGCUUAAUUUAUUAGAAUGAGUCUU